AGCCCAUGAUGAGGACAACCCAACUCCAUGUCCUUGAAUCGCUCCCAUGCAUCAUAAAAAUUCUCAUUAUCUUCUUGAAAGAACUUGGUCGAGCUAUCCCGCAUGUAGGC